rnacentral:rRNA from 1 species
UACGUAGGUGGCAAGCGUUAUCCGGAAUUACUGGGCGUAAAGGGUGUGUAGGCGGGAAGACAAGUCAGAAGUGAAAACUAUGGGCUCAACCCAUAAAGUGCUUUUGAAACUGUUUUUCUUGAGAGUGGGAGAGGUCAAUAGAAUUCCCGGUGUAGCGGUGAAAUGCGUAGAUAUCGGGAGGAAUACCGGUGGCGAAGGCGAUUGACUGGACCAUUACUGACGCUGAGACACGAAAGCGUGGGGAGCAAAC